rnacentral:misc_RNA from 1 species
AACAUCACAUAAGACACGAUCAAAUAGAAGUUGAUCAAUAUCAAGUUCUUUCACUUCUUGUGGCUCAGAACCUUCUCCAUAAGUUCUUUUCAAAUGACAGCUAGGGAAGUGCUGUGCUUCGUGAUUUGUGACUAUCAAGUUGGCAGUGGACAUUCUCUUUGUUUGAUGGAUGAGAAGGUUACACCUUUGAACAUCAGCGUCAUUUGCUAAGACCAUUCCACCAGGUAAUGAUCCCGGUUCAGCUGAGUGGUGUAUCAUCUCAAGUAACUGAAACGUUUUCGAACCAGGAGCUGCACACAUGUCAAGAAUGAAAUCAUCUGGCCGUACAUCCAGGAACAGAGGAGGGACCAUGCUAACAGCCUCCUGUCUUGUAAUGUUACCAAUCUCAUUUUGUAGCUUCAAGAACCCGUGGAACCUCUCAAGUAUUUUGUUUUUCCUCAACUGCUUGCGAGAAAAAGUUGACUGCCAGGCAAGAUUCUCUGGAUACCAAGGUAAUGGUCUUAUUGCUACAACCUCACUCCCAUCUGUCCCCUCUUCUUGCAGAGAUUUCAUAAAAUCAUUCUCCAACUUUGCUUGAAUUUCCAAGUAGCAUUGGCUACUUGAAUUGAUCCUGAAAGCAGCUGGUAAUUCACUUCGAAGACAGUCCAUAAAAGUAUUCCAUUCUUCUGGCGGCACAAUCCCUUGCUCCUUAUAAUACUCUUCAAAGGCAAUAUUUUGGAUGACAAAGGGUUUCCAACCGGGAUUACUGUUUUCUCUAUUGUUAUUAUUAUCAGCGGUACCAUUUUGCUGCUGCUCGGGAUCAUUUUUGGUGUAUUUCCAGUUGUUUUCUCUGCUUUGAAGGAAGUGUUUUCUCUGAGUUCUUGACCUUCCUCUGCCACCCAUUUUCCCUCUCGCUGCUGCAAAUUCAAAUACUGAAAACUCCCUCUCAGAAUUGAG